UUGAGACUCGAACCAUGGUCGACUACGUGGGAGUCCAGCCGCGUAGCCAUUAUACAAUCUGCUGGUCCCAGUCCCUGUGUUUUUUAACCUUUGUACAUGACCUCCUCUGUGUUCAUAACCUGGGCCCGGAAGGUGUCUAGGACCAGUUUGAAUACCUAGCCUGGUCUGCCUGAAACAUACCAGGCACCCAUGCCAGUGCCCUGGAUCUAACCAGUGGGAAGGGGAUCGCUCGUUCUCAGCGAGCGCAAACAUAUGCUCUAUCACGAAUAAAGGAAAAAUAAGUACAGAGUUUUGGGGGCCAUGGUGGGUGGCUGGAGGUUUGUAUCCCUCUCCUCCCAUGUUGACCCUGGUCUUGCCUCUUCUUGACAGGUGUGUCCAGCAUCAUGGCCUCCUCCCAGUGACUGCCAGUGCUAAUAAAGACGGGUUGACUUUG